rnacentral:rRNA from 1 species
UACGGAGGGUGCAAGCGUUAAUCGGAAUUACUGGGCGUAAAGCGUGCGUAGGCGGCCCGUCAAGCCAGAUGUGAAAGCCCCGGGCUCAACCUGGGAACUGCAUUUGGAACUGGCAGGCUAGAGUUUGGUAGAGGGGGGCGGAAUUCCGGGUGUAGCGGUGAAAUGCGUAGAUAUCCGGAGGAACACCAGUGGCGAAGGCGGCCCCCUGGACCAGAACUGACGCUGAGGCACGAAAGCGUGGGUAGCAAACAGG